UACGUAGGGUCCGAGCGUUGUCCGGAAUUAUUGGGCGUAAAGGGCUCGUAGGCGGUUCGUCACGUCGGGAGUGAAAACUCGGAGCUUAACUCCGAGCCUGCUUCCGAUACGGGCAGACUAGAGGUAGGCAGGGGAGAGCGGAACUCCUGGUGUAGCGGUGGAAUGCGCAGAUAUCAGGAGGAACACCGGUGGCGAAGGCGGAUCUCUGGGCCGUACCUGACGCUGAGGCGCGAAAGCUAGGGGAGCAAACAGG
rnacentral:rRNA from 1 species